AACGUAGGUGGCGAGCGUUAUCCGGAUUUACUGGGCGUAAAGCGUGUGCAGGCGGGGCUACAAGUGGGGUGUGAAAUCGCUCGGCUAAACCGGGCGGGGUUAUGCCAGACUGUAGCUCUUGAGUGCGAGAGAGGGGCAUGGAAUUCCGCGUGUAGCAGUGAAAUGCGUAGAUAUGCGGAGGAACACCGAUGGCGAAGGCAAUCCCCUGGGCCUGCACUGACGCUCAUGCACGAAAGCGUGGGGAGCAAACAGG
rnacentral:rRNA from 1 species